UACGUAGGGUGCGAGCGUUAAUCGGAAUACUGGGCGUAAAGCGUGCGCAGGCGGUGAUGUAAGACAGAUGUGAAAUCCCCGGGCUCAACCUGGGAACUGCAUUUGUGACUGCAUCGCUGGAGUACGGCAGAGGGGGGAUGGAAUUCCACGUGUAGCAGUGAAAUGCGUAGAGAUGUGGAGGAAUACCGAUGGCGAAGGCAGCCCCUGGGACAUGACUGACGCUCAUGCACGAAAGCGUGGGGAGCAAACAGG
rnacentral:rRNA from 1 species